AGAGUUUGAUCCUGGCUCAGGAUGAACGCUAGCGGGAGGCUUAACACAUGCAAGUCGAACGGUAAGGUCCCUUCGGGGAUACACGAGUGGCGCACGGGUGAGUAACGCGUAUGCAACCUACCUUUUACAGGGGAAUAGCCCAGAGAAAUUUGGAUUAAUGCCCCAUAGUUCUGUAUUGUCGCAUGGCAAGACAGAUAAAGCUACGGCGGUAAGAGAUGGGCAUGCGUGACAUUAGAUUGUUGGCGGGGUAACGGCCCACCAAGUCUGCGAUGUCUAGGGGUUCUGAGAGGAUGAUCCCCCACACUGGUACUGAGACACGGACCAGACUCCUACGGGAGGCAGCAGUGAGGAAUAUUGGUCAAUGGGCGCAAGCCUGAACCAGCCAUCCCGCGUGAAGGACGACUGCCCUAUGGGUUGUAAACUUCUUUUCUGUACCAAGAACGUACCCUACGUGUAGGGUAGUGACGGUAGUACAGGAAUAAGCAUCGGCUAACUCCGUGCCAGCAGCCGCGGUAAUACGGAGGAUGCGAGCGUUAUCCGGAUUCAUUGGGUUUAAAGGGUGCGUAGGCGGCUUUUUAAGUCAGUGGUGAAAUCCUGCGGCUCAACCGUAGAACUGCCAUUGAAACUGAAGAGCUUGAAUACACUUGAGGUAAGCGGAAUGAGUAGUGUAGCGGUGAAAUGCUUAGAUAUUACUCAGAACACCAAUUGCGAAGGCAGCUUACCAAAGUGAUAUUGACGCUGAGGCACGAAAGCGUGGGGAGCGAACAGGAUUAGAUACCCUGGUAGUCCACGCCGUAAACGAUGUUCACUCGCUGUUUGCGAUAUACAGUAAGCGGCC
rnacentral:rRNA from 1 species